AGUGAACGCUGGCGGUAGGCCUAACACAUGCAAGUCGAACGGCAGCAUAGUAAGAGCUUGCUCUUACGGGUGGCGAGUGGCGGACGGGUGAGGAAUACAUCGGAAUCUACUUUUUCGUGGGGGAUAACGUAGGGAAACUUACGCUAAUACCGCAUACGACCUACGGGUGAAAGCAGGGGAUCUUCGGACCUUGCGCGAUUGAAUGAGCCGAUGUCGGAUUAGCUAGUUGGCGGGGUAAAGGCCCACCAAGGCGACGAUCCGUAGCUGGUCUGAGAGGAUGAUCAGCCACACUGGAACUGAGACACGGUCCAGACUCCUACGGGAAGCAGCAGUGGGGAAUAUUGGACAAUGGGCGCAAGCCUGAUCCAGCCAUACCGCGUGGGUGAAGAAGGCCUUCGGGUUGUAAAGCCCUUUUGUUGGGAAAGAAAAGCAGCAGGUUAAUACCCCGCUGUUCUGACGGUACCCAAAGAAUAAGCACCGGCUAACUUCGUG
rnacentral:rRNA from 1 species